rnacentral:rRNA from 1 species
AGUGAACGCUGGCGGCGUGGGUGAGACAUGCAAGUCGCACGAGCAAGCUCUGCCGAAAGGUGGAACUCGCUAGUGGCGAAAGGGAGAGUACAAAGCAGGUAACGUGCCCCGGACACCGGGAUAGUCCGCCGAAAGGCGGGGUAAUAUCGGAGAUGCUCCGCGUCGGAUGGCGCGGUGUCAAAGGGCGGGGACCUUCGGGCCCGCCGGUCUGGGAGCGGCCGCCCGAUCAGCUAGUUGGUGAGGUGAUGGCUCACCAAGGCGAUGACGCGUAGCCGGCCUGAGAGGGUGUUCGGCCUCACUGGGACUGAGACACUGCCCAGAGCCCUACGGGGUGCAGCAGUCUCGAAUCAUCCGCAAUGCGCGAAAGCGUGACGGUGUGACGCCGCGUGCGGGAGGAAGCCCUUCGGGGUGUAAACCGCUUUUUGGAGGUAUGAAGCGUCUCGGCGGAUAAUGCCGGCGACGUUGACGUCAACUUCAGAAUAAGCCCCGGCUAACUUCGUGCCAGCAGCCGCGGUAAGACGAAGGGGGCAAGCGUUGCUCGGAAUCACUGGGCUUAAAGAGGACGUAGGCGGUCCGGCCAGUCGGAUGUGAAAUCCCUUGGCUCAACUGAGGAAUGGCAUUCGAUACUGCCGGACUUGAGGUGCUCAGAGGCGAGUGGAACUCUCGGUGGAGCGGUGAAAUGCGUAGAUGUCGAGAGGAACGCCAAUGGUGAAGACAGCUCGCUGGGGGCAUCCUGACGCUGAGGUCCGAAAGCUAGGGGAGCAAACGGGAUUAGAUACCCCGGUAGUCCUAGCCCUAAACGAUGCGCACUAGGUGGAGGAGGCUCUGACGGUCAUCUCCGCCGCAGCGAAAGCGUUAAGUGCGCCGCCUGGGGAGACGGUCGCAAGGCU